rnacentral:rRNA from 1 species
AUGCAAGUCGAACGGAGUUAACCGCUUGAUUUGAUGCUAGCUUGCUAGAGGAUUUUCUUGGUUAACUUAGUGGCGGACGGGUGAGUAACGCGUGAGCAACCUGCCUUUCAGAGGGGGACAACAGUUGGAAACGACUGCUAAUACCGCAUAACAUACAUUUAAGGCAUCUUUUAUGUAUCAAAGAUUUAUCGCUGAAAGAUGGCCUCGCGUCUGAUUAGAUAGUUGGUGGGGUAACGGCCUACCAAGUCAACGAUCAGUAGCCGGUCUGAGAGGAUGAACGGCCACAUUGGGACUGAGAUACGGCCCAGACUCCUACGGGAGGCAGCAGUGGGGGAUAUUGCACAAUGGGGGAAACCCUGAUGCAGCAACGCCGCGUGAGGGAAGAAGGUCUUCGGAUUGUAAACUUCUGUCUUAUGGGAAGAACACAGACGGUACCAUAGGAGGAAGCCACGGCUAACUACGUG